AACAAACGCUGGCGGCGUGCCUAAUACAUGCAAGUCGAACGGGGAAAGCUUUCGGGUGAGUACUAGUGGCGCACGGGUGAGUAACGCGUGGAUAAUAUGCCUUAGAGUGGGGGAUAACUAGUCGAAAGAUUAGCUAAUACCGCAUAAGACCACAAGAACUGCGGUUCAAGGGGUCAAAGGAUUUUCGCUCUAAGAUGAGUCCGCGUAAGAUUAGCUAGUUGGUAGGGUAACGGCCUACCAAGGCGACGAUCUUUAACUGGUCUGAGAGGAUGAUCAGUCACACUGGAACUGAGACACGGUCCAGACUCCUACGGGAGGCAGCAGUAGGGAAUAUUGCACAAUGGAGGAAACUCUGAUGCUGCGACGCUGCGUGAGUGAUGAAGGCCUUCGGGUCGUAAAGCUCUGUCGCAGGGGAAUAACACAAUGAAGGUACCCUGUAAGAAAGGAUCGGCUAACUUCGUGCCAGCAGCCGCAGUAACAC
rnacentral:rRNA from 1 species